rnacentral:rRNA from 1 species
AACGCAGCGAAGGGCGAUAAGUAAUGUGAAUUGCAGAAUUCAGUGAAUCAUCGAAUCUUUGAACGCACCUUGCGCCCCUUGGCUAUUCCGAGGGGCAUGCCUGUUUGAGUAUCAUGAACACCUCAACUCUCAUGGUUCGCCAUGAUGAGCUUGGACUCUGGGGGUUUUUGCUGGCCUGUGGUCGGCUCCCCCUCAAAAUGAAUCAGCCUCCCAGUGUUUUGGUGGCAUCACGGGUGUGAUAGAUAUCUACGCUCGCGGUUGUCUGCCAGGUAACCUUUGGUGACAAAGGUUCGCUGGAGCUCACAGAUGUCUCUCCUCGGCGAGGACAGCUUUUUUUGAACGUUCGAUCUCAAAUCAGGUAGGACUACCCGCUGAACUUAA